UUUUAUAUUUAAAUCCGGUAUAUUACAUUACACCGCAACCUUACCGGAACCAUUCAAAUGGCUCUCCAACCAAAUGGACACCGUGACCUCAUGAUUUUCGAAGUCCGGUACCCUACAUCCUCCCCUCCUUAAAAAGAGUUUCGUCCUCGAAACGAACUCAAUACUGCAAAACUUAUUUAGAACUUUAAAUUCUAAACUCAUACCUUGACUUAAUCCUCGAACAAGUGAGGAUGAUUCGCCUUCAUC
rnacentral:lncRNA from 1 species